rnacentral:tRNA from 1 species
GAGCCAUUAGCUCAGUCGGCAGAGCAUCUGCCUUUUAAGCAGGGUGUCCGGGGUUCGAAUCCCCGAUGGCUCA